GGCCCUUUCAGGCUAUCGGUCGGAGCCUUGGCUUCUGUCCGCAGGCUCCGCCCCCUCCCGGUCUACGCUCUUUGCUGCCGGGCGCGGCCGGGGCGGGCCGGGGCCGGGGCCGGGGGGCGGGGAUCCCGGGACCCUUCGAGGAUAUUACAGGGUGGAAACCAACACUAGUGAGAAAAGUCCUCUGAGGCUUCAUUUUCUACUAAUUGAAGAGAAAGGCACUGGCUUUGAAAACACAAACCAAAAACAGUUCCAGUUUCCGGAGGGGACCGUAGGCCUGCAGUAUGUGGAGUUGGGUGGCAGAUGCUAGGCAAACGGCUAUUUUCAUCUCUUGCACGAUUGCAUCAAAGCACCAACUGAUGACAAAAGGAAGUACUUCAAAAUGUUGCUAGUGAAUAUGUGAAUUGAAUGCCCAGAAGCAGUUAUGAAGCAUUUACUGUGCCAUCUGAACUUUAACUUUGAUAUUUUUAAUGUAUUGAUGUUUACAUCUUCAUCUAUCUUCUUAUAACCACUUAUGUAUUCAUUUAACUCUUUAUACACUUCUGACAUAUGUUCGUUUUAUGGUAGACCAUUUGACACAUAUCCAUGUUAAACACUUAUUAAAAAUGACCAAACAUUGGUUAAAAUGAGCA
rnacentral:lncRNA from 1 species